AAAAUGUGAAAGUACUGUGCAGGAAGGAACUGAACCCAGCUCUUAAUCAUGGAUUGGUGCUGUCAGUGCCUGAUGGAUGAAGGGGACGGAUCAGAAUGGACUGGAGGGGAUUGGAUCUGCCUUGCAAAUCAUGAGGGAAUCCCAGGGAAAGAAAACACUCCUCGGACUGAUAGUGAGGAUGAGAUACAUGAGACACUGAGAAAUGGAUACCACUGAGGUCAUGGCCAGGAGGUGGCAGUGCAAAGAUUCCUACCCAAGCUUCCUCAUCUGUGAACAGAACAGGAAGGCCUCGGUAAAUAGGUACAUGUUGACAAGCAACAACCUACUCAAAACUCAUCUUUUUGUAUUAAUGCAUCAUGUGACUCCCUCGUUUGGACUUCUGCAGGAACAUGUCAGAUCAGUCAAGUUGCAUUUGCAGAAAACGGAAACCACCCUGGGAAAGGAUAAGUGGUUCUAAUAUAGAGAACUAAGUGCUGAAAAAAAUGGGCUACAGGAAUAUUCUCUAGUCUGUGUCUUCAGGAAUUACUUCUGGAACUGCACCUUAACACUGGCUGACCAAGGACAAACUGGCUACUAUAAAAGGAAAGUGGGUGGUGAGGACCAACCACAGGAAGUGGUAACUGCAAGUGCACUCUGUCAUCACCGUGAUGCAAGGAUCAGGAAGCCCUCUAGUGAUAACUGCCCAUGCACAUAUAAGAAGGGAGGAAGGGACACUGCUCAGAAGACGCCAGCAUCUCCACAAGACCAUUCUUGCCAGCAACAACUUCCAAAAGUAUAGAAAACUGCAUUGUAAUCAGAUUCCAUUUUCCAAAUCUUGAAAGAGGGCAUCUAAUUAGUAGACCAAGAUUCACAGAAUUCAAGGAAACAUAGUUUGCAGCUUCCUUCUGUACCAGAAAGCACAGAGAAAUAGAAUGAGUAGUGCUUACAGGGACAGCUCAUGGGUUGCUUUCUAAUUGGAAAUUUACUAAUCUUUACAGGUGAAUAUUUUUUAAAGAUCCCUCAUUUUAAUUUGCAUGAUUCCUCUGGAGCCAUCACUAUACUUUUGGCCAAAAUUAUUUAUCUGAUUCAGUUGUCCAGAGGGUUCACUACAAGUACAUUUUCACACAAGGAUUCUAGCCUGAAUUUAUUUAACUGACAUUUCAAACUAUGUACUUCAUGAUAUUCCACCAACAUAUUUCAAAGCUAUUGUUAGGUAUAACAUUUUACCUGUUAUUUCAUGGGAAAGGUACACACACCCCAUAUAUCUUUUCUCUUCAUUAUCACCUUAAUUUUAUUUAAGAAAUUUUUAAUCUACAUGGUUUGAAUUAUCUCCUUUGUUAAGACAAGGUAACUCAAUUACAAGAAACAGAAAGUUCCCCAUAUGAUACUGGGCAGAUAUAGGUUAUUAAAACUGGUACUAGCAGGAAAGGGAGUGUGAGUACUUUGCAUAUAAUCACGUACAAUUUGGAGAAAGUGUUCUUAAAGCCCUUGGUUCAGUGGGGACCUGGGAAAAAAUAGUGGACUCUUGACUGUCAGUUCAGUAGCAUAAUGAGUCUAAGCACAUUCUGAGUGCUAGUUCUUAAAAAGAAAUAAAAAGCAAGAAAACUUUGCUUCAGGUGAUCCUAAAAUGUAGCAAAGGAACUCUGCAGCACUUCUGGGAAAAUUGCUGAUUGGCAUGAAAAAGAAUUAAGUGCUUUUCUCAUACCUGCAUGCAAUUUUAACUGUUCUAUGAAGCUUAAAUGCUGUUCAAAAUGCCUCGAAGAGAAUCAGGGAAGUUUUGUGCAAGCAAGAAAAGAUUCUAUGAAGCUGAAGAGAAAGCUGCUAUUUUGCAUUGCCCUAGUGUUUGUUUUAAAAUCUAUAAAUUUGGGGAAAAAUAAGUAGAAAGCAUCAAUAAGUAGAAUAAAUCAAUAGUCUAUAAUUUCGAUUGCAUUUUACAAUGGAAUCAAUACUUCUGCUUUCAGUAAAUAGAAAACUCCUGAUCAUAACCCUUUCUUUGGAGUGUUCUGUAAACUAUGCAAUGCUUAGUUAGCAUGCAUUUGUUUUUCUCUACAAAAGCCUGAUGACAAUUAUGUGUUUUAUGCCCUCUCAAAAAUUAAGCAAAAAUUAAAUAUCUACCCAAAAUAUUUUAUUUUAGAAUUGUUUAAUCUUUACAUCUCAGUAAGUGUUGACUAUAUCUAUGCAUUAAAUUGUCUUAAGAACAAUAAUAUUUCUGCCUAUUUCAAAUACUAUACAAUUGAGCCUGCCACAAGAACUGUUAUUGGCCAGAAAGAAAAUAAGAUUCACGAUAAAUACAUGAAUAAAGGCAGCAUCAUAAUUUCUAUUCCAUUAUAGACAGACUGAGUCAGUGACAAGAGGAGCUAAAGUACAAAAUGUGGUCAGCUGGCCCAGCUAGCUUAAAACCUAGUUGUUUUUCUUUGCUUGAAUGGUCAAGAUCUCUUAUGACAAAUUUUGAAUUACAAGAGAAUGUUCAGUGUUACCAGUCUUAUUUGUUAUUUAUUAAGUUCUUUGAAUAGAUUUUUUUAAAAGUUGACUGGUGUGAGUCUCAAAGAAACCUGAGGGAUAGUUUAGGGUACAUGUAGGAAGGUAUUGAAAAGAUUUUUACUGAAUGAAGGAUAGAUUGGGAUGUUGGAAUGAGGAAGCAGAAGUACAAAUUCCAGGGAGGAUUACAUUCUAGUAAAAUGUCAGUUUCCAAAGGUCAGUGCCAUCCAGUCUUUCCAUGAGCCAUUUUCUGUGCAAUAAGCAUGACUCCUGGGCAUGAUAGGAUAGAGUUUUAUAAGAUUUCCUUUCUCUCAUGCAUCAUAUUUAAAGUUUCUUUUCUAAAAGGGAAGAAAGGUGCGUAUCUGUGCCACAAGGAGUGGCUGACUCCAGCACAGUAACCUCAAGGGUAGCACCUUCAAUGUUGAUGAGGUUGGACUUAGCUGCUGGUUCUGGAAAGACAAAAGUGGACUAGAGGCUGUUGAUAAGUUGGCUACUCCUCCCUUGUUUUUAGUUUCAUUUCAGGUCAAGAAGUAGCCAUUGGUCACCACGUCUGUAACAUGCACUGUGCUGUGUGUUGGGCGUACAAAGAAGGAGAAUCUGCAGUCCUCUUCCUAAAGGAGUGCAUAGUGAUUUCAGUCCCAGGCGGUAAAGGCAGAGAAGUUUGCUCAGGGCUAUAGGGAAGGUCAGAGACAAUCCUCUGGCUCACCUGAGAGGUUCAGAAUAAGCUUUGAAGAGGAGAUGGUGCUGAGCUGAAUUUUCCACAAUGAGUUAACCACAUGAAAAAGCUGACAAAGGUCCAGGUGUAGUGGCUCAUGCCUGUAACCCCAGCACUUUGGGAAACCGAGGUGGGUGGAUCACAUGAGGGCAGGAGUUCAAAAUCAACCUGGCCAACAUGGUGAAACCCCAUCUCUACUAAAAAUACAAAAAAAUUAGCCAGGUAUGGUGGUGUGUGCCUGUAGUCCCAGCUGCUUGGGAGGCUGAGGCAUGAGAAUCGCUUGAACCUGAGAGGCAGUGGCUGCAGUGUGCUGAGAUCACACCACUGCACUCCAGCUUGGGUGACAGAGUAAGGCUCUGUCAAAAAAAAAAAAAAUGCUGACAAAGGCAAUCAGUAAAAUUAGUAAGAAAUAGCAUCAAUAGAAAACAGGUUUUACAAGCAACUUGGUAUAACUAAAUUUAAAAAUGUAAGGUGAGAAAUGUAGGUGACAAAGGCCAAGUCUUUGGUAGCAAGCUAUUUACAGUAUUUUAUCUACAAAUUGUUCCAACAUGUCACGUUUGCUACUUUAUUGAAAUGUUUGAUUGCAUAACAUGGAGAAUGUGCAGUGUGAGAUGAUGCCAUAUUUUCACUCUCUAAGACCUCGGAAGACUAAGCAGCUUUAAUCACCUAGAGUUUCAGUCAUUUCAGUGAAUAUUCAUAGAAAUAGAGGUGACCAACCAGCAGCGAGCUCAAGUGGCUGCAUCUACAGAGUGGGUUAGGAAUGUGGUGAGGUGUUUGGCAGUGGAGCGGUAGGCAGUGUGGGCAAUGCUGUCUGAAAGGUUAUCUCUCUAGUCUCCAUGGGGAUACAUGAAAAACUAAAAUAUAGAUAAUAACAUUCAUUCAUUCAUUUAUUUAUUCCUUUUUUAGAGACGGGGUCUUGCUAUGUUGCCCAGAAUGGAAUGCAGUGUCUCUUCACCGGCACCAUCCUGGCAUGCUAUAGCCUCAAACUCCUGGGCUCAAGCAUCAUCCUGCCUCAGCCUCCCAAUUAGCUGGGACUACAGGUGUGCAUCACUGUGCAGAGCUAAUAAUGUCCUUUCUGUAUGAAUUAUCGAGACUCAAGAAAGCACUUUGAUAGGGGAAGUGAAUACACUGGGGACAAUUAGUGGGUGGAUGUGUCUGAAGUGAGAGUAAGGCUCUCUUCAGCUGCAGCAUGAAAAUAAGGUGACCAGUUGAGGUCCUGGUUUUCCAGCUGAGCUCUCAAUCUCGUCUCACAAGACUGAUAAAAACGAUAUCUUUAGUUUUCCAGGACUGGCUAGAAACAAUGCAGGGAUAUUAUCAACAUCUCGUUAUUUUGUUCUCAUAAUUAUUUGAUUAAUGAUAAUGACUCAGCUGCUUUGUAAUACUAUGUAUGUCUUUUAUUAGCCUUAUAACUUCCCUUAACAGUAUAGGGACCUUGAUUUCUUAGUUUUGCCAAGAGAGCAAUAAACUCACAGUCAAGUUACUUUUUUAGAAUGUGUAUAGUUCCCAGGUGAAGGGAAUUUCAGUUCACUUAGAUAUCCUUUAAUUUUCACAUUCAUUCCAGCCUCAUUUCUACUCUGCAUAUGUCUCCAGUAUAUUUUUGCUCAUGACACAGAAAUAUCAGUUCCAUUCUUUGCUGGAAUUAACAAACAGCAAAAUAUCUCACCUGCUGGACAGAAUGCAUUGAUCUGCUAUUUUCUAUCUGUCCUAGAACCUCUUGUAGCACCAUUGUUUAACACAUUCUUGGAUUCAUAUUUAGAGCAUCAGGCUAAUUCAUGUUUGCUGAUUUGCAUAUGAAGGCUAGAUGUUAAAGUAGAAUUUAAAAUAUUUGGUUAUAUCUACUGUUUUUACCCUCUCUAAUUUAGUAGAACGUUUCUGGAUGUCAUAUUGUGUGGUUUAGUUAACUAUUAUGCACCAAUUAUACUAAUGUUUAAAUAAUAGUUUAACAUAUUUUUAACAAUGUUUAACUUAUUAUUUGUAGUAUAUAACCAGGAGAAAGUCUUCAGUUAUACAGUAAUUUAUCUUUCUUUCAUAAAGCUAAAAAGAUGUUAAUUUGCAUGAUUUUAGCUGAGUUUUCAGUGUGGACUUUGCUUCUGAAUUGUGUCCAAGGCUCUGAGUCGGUUUUAAGACCUUACAUCUGCAUGGUGCUUUGCCGUUUAAGAAGGAAUUCCACAUUAAUCUUCAGCUCUGAUUAUUCAAGUUCAUCCCGGUUCCUGUUACAGUCACUGCUUGAAUAAAUGAAUGAACCAAAACCAGAAUUGACUUUGGUUUUCCUAACAUUGUGAGUUUGUUGGAACAGAUAUCAUUAUUAUGGAAUAAUGUGAUUUUGUAAUAUUAUAUAAUAUAAUUAUUGUAUUUUUCAGAUAAAACAGCUGCUAAAAUUUAUUUGUACAGCUGACCUUGGAAUAACACAGGUCUUAACUGCAUGGAUCUAUGUAUGCAUGGAUUUUUUUUUCAAUAAAAUUACACUAACUGUGCCUGCCUCUCCCGCUUCCCCUUCCACCUCCUUCAUCCUUUCUUCCUCUGUCACCUCUGAGAUAACAAGGCCAACCCCUCCCCUUUCUCUUUCUCUUCAUUUGAAGACAAGGAAGUUGAAGACUUUUAUGAGGAUCUGCUUUCACUUAAUGAAUAGUAAAUAUAUUUUCUCUUCCUUUUGAUUUUCUUAAUGACGUUUUCUUUUUUCUAGCUUACUUGAUGGUAAGAUAAAGUCUAUAAUACAUAUAACAUACAAGAUCUAUGUUAAUCGACUGUUUUUGUUAUUCCCAAAGCUUCUGGUCAACAGUAAGCUAUUAGUAGUUAAGUUUUGGGGGAGUCAAAAAGUUACACAUGGAUUUUCUACUGUGCGGGGUUCGGCACCCCUAAUUCUUGCAUUGUUCAAGAAUCAGUUGUAUUACACUUUCUAGUUACAAUGCAUUUAACAUCUUGUGCUAUUUAAAACAACCCUGUCAGGCAGGAGGAGAAAAAUGAUUAUCUCUGUCUAGCAGAUAAGAAAAGUGAAAUUCAAAGGUCAAUGACCAUCUCCAAAUCACAGUGCAACAGCAUUGCUAAGACCUGAAUUCAGUCUGUUUCAUCAUAGUUCGCUGCUCUUUUAAAAAUUCCACCGUGCCUCUUAGGGCAUAUUAAUCACCAUGUGUGGGAGUGGGUGGGGGCUGUCAGAGGGGCAGCAUCUGGAGUUUUACCUGGUCAGGACAGAAGUCCUCCUCCCUGCUGGAAUGAUGAGCCUCUGUGCUUUGUUCCUUCUCUGCAGUGUGGCCAAAGUGAUGGGCUUUUACAAAAGGGCACCAUGGGGCAUUUUCGGGGUAGCUUGGGAUGGUGAUUGGGAGUAGCUCACAUGACACAUGUUAGGAUGUUGCCAAACUCAUUUUGGCAAGGCUAUUUGAUAGUAAAAGGAUAUAACGCUAGCAGCCUCUGUUGUCCAACACCAGGGAGAUAAUUCUUCUGUUCUUAUCCAGCAUGGUGCCAAGCUCUACGGGAACAAAAUGGAAGAAGGAGGAGGCAGAAAACGAAGCCCUCAGGUCCCUUAGGUUCAGGAAUGCACAUAAUUAAUGCCUUCCUUGACCCUUAGGAAAGCCAGAGCGCUAAGCAUUGGGAAUAUUUUACAUUAAC
rnacentral:lncRNA from 10 species